GAGUUUGAUCUUGGCUCAGGACGAACGCUGGCGGCGUGCCUAAUACAUGCAAGUCGAGCGAGCGGAACUAACAGAUUUUACUUCGGUAAUGACGUUAGGAAAGCGAGCGGCGGAUGGGUGAGUAACACGUGGGGAACCUGCCCCAUAGUCUGGGAUACCACUUGGAAACAGGUGCUAAUACCGGAUAAGAAAGCAGAUCGCAUGAUCAGUACGUUUUAAAAGGCGGCGUAAGCUGUCGCUAGUGGGA
rnacentral:rRNA from 1 species